rnacentral:rRNA from 1 species
AACGAACGCUGGCGGCGUGGAUUAGGCAUGCAAGUCGAACGGUGACGAGGAGCUUGCUCCUCUGAUCAGUGGCGAACGGGUGAGUAACACGUGAGCAACCUGCCCCAGACUCUGGGAUAACAGUUGGAAACAGCUGCUAAUACCGGAUACGAGACGGAGAGGCAUCUCUACCGUCUGGAAAGUUUUUCGGUCUGGGAUGGACUCGCGGCCUAUCAGCUAGUUGGUGAGGUAAUGGCUCACCAAGGCGACGACGGGUAGCCGGCCUGAGAGGGCGACCGGCCACACUGGGACUGAGACACGGCCCAGACUCCUACGGGAGGCAGCAGUGGGGAAUAUUGCACAAUGGGCGAAAGCCUGAUGCAGCGACGCCGCGUGAGGGAUGACGGCCUUCGGGUUGUAAACCUCUUUCAGCAGGGAAGAAGCGAAAGUGACGGUACCUGCAGAAGAAGCACCGGCUAACUACGUG